UACGAAGGGGGCUAGCGUUGCUCGGAAUUACUGGGCGUAAAGGGAGCGUAGGCGGACAGUUUAGUCAGAGGUGAAAGCCCAGGGCUCAACCUUGGAAUUGCCUUUGAUACUGACUGUCUAGAGUAUGGGAGAGGUGUGUGGAACUCCGAGUGUAGAGGUGAAAUUCGUAGAUAUUCGGAAGAACACCAGUGGCGAAGGCGACACACUGGCCCAUUACUGACGCUGAGGCUCGAAAGCGUGGGGAGCAAACAGG
rnacentral:rRNA from 1 species